UUUAAGGAUCUUGAGAUGAGACCAUCUUAGAUUACCUGGGUGGACCUUAAAUCCAAUGAUAAGCAUCCUUGUAAGAAAUGCCCAGAGAGGACACAGAGAGAAGAGAAGGCCAUGUGAAGAUGGAGGCAGAGAUUGGAAUUAUAUAGCCACAAGCCAAGGAAUGCCCAGAGCCACCAGAAACUGAAAGAUGUAAGGAAGAACUCUCCCCUACAGCCUUCAGAGAGAGCACAACCUUAUGGACACCUUGAUUUCAGACUUCUGGCCUCCAGAACUGGCGUGGCAGACCCCUGGGCUAACAGCCCAUGGGAUGAACCUCAAUGGCCCCCACCGGUGUCCAUAUCAGCACGCCUGGACCAGCUCAGAACAAUGGCCCCCACCAAUGUCUCAGUCUCCAGAGAGGUCCCUCCUCUCACCAAGAUGCCCCCAGAGCCCACCAGAGCCCUGACUGUUCAUUCUUGCACCGCCUCCAUGUGACCCAGGGGAAACUGACUCCAUGCUCAGCUCCAGGAGUGGAUCCUGACUGGUCUACGCCAAUCACAGUAAUCUCACCCUUCCUUGCCAGUAAUUGGUUCAGGAACCCAAGCCAGUCAUUGGAGGUCACCAUCCCACCACCAUGGGAUGGACACAUGCCUAAACUGACUAAUCAGGAGAGAGAAGGACUUCUCUUCCAUGGUUUGGGCUGAAACCUCAAGUGAGACUGCUGCUGCAGUGUUGAAGAUUAAAUGCUCAAUAUGUGGUCCCUAAAGGCAGAUUUAAAGGAAGAGACAACAAUCAGCCUCUCUAUAUAUCACCAUCUUCAAUUAUUUUGUUCAAAGACAAGGCUCAACCAAAGACAAAGCUCAACAUCCAAAACAAGAUGUCAAACAAGAAGAUGCCAAAAAAGAAGUUUCUUGCUGAAAUAAAGUUUGGGAAGACAAGUACUCCCAGCAGUGCAGACAAGCAACCAGAAGUAUUACCCAUAAGUGGUUAAUGAGAAGAUAGGAUGACAGCUGUUUAGAAGAGCUGGAAGGAAUUGUCUCCUCCUCUGAAGGACACUAGGAAAGGAACCGGAUUCUUGCAACCUCAGAAAAUAUUCCUCCCAUCGAGUGGGUCUCAACCCUAUCUGUAGAUUCGAAUCACCUGAGGAGGGUUUUGUUUUGGGGUUUGUCUUUUUUUAGCAGCAAGUCCCUGAAUGCCCUCCCCCGCCAACCAAUUAA
rnacentral:lncRNA from 1 species